AAAUGAAUAGACGGGGGCCCGCACAAGCGGCGGAGCAUGCGGAUUAAUUCGAUGCAACGCGAAGAACCUUACCAAGGCUUGACAUGGAUCCGAUUCUGGUAGAGAUAUCAGUUCCGUAAGGCGGGUUCACAGGUGGUGCAUGGUUGUCGUCAGCUCGUGUCGUGAGAUGUUGGGUUAAGUCCCGCAACGAGCGCAACCCUUGUCUCGUGUUGCCAGCGGGUUAUGCCGGGGACUCAUGAGAGACUGCCGGGGUCAACUCGGAGGAAGGUGGGGAUGACGUCAAAUCAUCAUGCCCCUUAUGUCUUGGGCUUCACGCAUGCUACAAUGGCCGGUACAGAGGGUUGCGAUCCUGUGAGGGUGAGCGAAUCCCAAAAAGCCGGUCUCAGUUCGGAUUGGGGUCUGCAACUCGACCCCAUGAAGUCGGAGUCGCUAGUAAUCGCAGAUCAGCAACGCUGCGGUGAAUACGUUCUCGGGCCUUGUACACACCGCCCGU
rnacentral:rRNA from 1 species